AAAGUCGUAACAAGGUUUCCGUAGGUGAACCUGCGGAAGGAUCAUUAAAGAGCAAGGGUCUUUUACAGGCCCGACCUCCCAACCCUUUAUUUACCAAACCCACGUUGCUUCGGCGGACCCGUCCGCGAGGACCGCCGGAGGAUUACCCGUAAUCCUCUGGCCCGCGUCCGUCGACAGCCUAUUUAAAUUCUUGAAUGAAUCGUGUAUUCCUUCUGAGUCAAAAACAAAAAUUAAAAGCAAAACUUUCAACAACGGAUCUCUUGGUUCUG
rnacentral:misc_RNA from 1 species